UGGGGAAUAUUGCACAAUGGGGGAAACCCUGAUGCAGCGACGCCGCGUGAGCGAAGAAGUAUUUCGGUAUGUAAAGCUCUAUCAGCAGGGAAGAUAAUGACGGUACCUGACUAAGAAGCCCCGGCUAACUACGUGCCAGCAGCCCGCGGUAAUCAGAUCGU
rnacentral:rRNA from 1 species